GGAGGGUGCGAGCGUUGUCCGGAAUCACUGGGCGUAAAGGGCGCGUAGGCGGCCUGAUAAGUAGGGGGUGAAAUCCUGCGGCUUAACCGCAGGGCUGCCUUCUAAACUGUCGGGCUCGAGCACAGUAGAGGCAGGUGGAAUUCCCGGUGUAGCGGUGGAAUGCGUAGAGAUCGGGAAGAACAUCAGUGGCGAAGGCGGCCUGCUGGGCUGUUGCUGACGCUGAGGCGCGACAGCGUGGGGAGCAAACAGGAUUAGAUACCCUGGUAGUCCACGCCGUAAACGAUGGGCACUAGGCGUCGGGGGGGAGCGACCCUCCCGGUGCCGUCGCUAACGCAGUAAGUGCCCCGCCUGGGGAGUACGGCCGCAAGGCUG
rnacentral:rRNA from 1 species